UGACUCCUGUCAGUGCGUCCACUGAAGCUUACCAUGGCGUCGCUGAGCUCUUCACUACUCCGGAAUAGGGGAUACUCCUCCAACCUCCUCUCGCACCUGAGAAGUGAGGCAGGCACUUCAAGAAGCCAGUCGUUGAAGCCUUCAGCCUGCACAGCAGCAAGCGGCAGGCAUGCAGUAGGCUCAAGCACCUUCCCGCAGAAUAGAAGGCUAACCAUGUCGUCUAUCAGCGUCUCGGCUACAUCAAAG
rnacentral:lncRNA from 1 species